CCGGACGGAACGCCGAAUCCUGCCGCCGUCCGGGAACCCGACCCACUCACGUACGGCAGGAGCGGGGGACCCAGGUUUACUGCCGGUCCGGAAUCCGGAGCGGCUAGGGGUUAAGUCGCCAUCACGUGCGGCCGGACAUCUCCAGUCCGAACCCGACAGCUCACCUCGCAGGCGGCGGAGAGGAAAU
rnacentral:sRNA from 2 species